GAUGAACGCUGGCGGCGUGCUUAACACAUGCAAGUCGAGCGAGAAAAGUUCUUCGGAGCUUUUCUAGCGGCGGACGGGUGAGUAACACGUGGGCAACCUGCCUCAUAGAGGGGAAUAGCCUUCCGAAAGGAAGAUUAAUACCGCAUAACGUUGUUGAAAGGCAUCUUUUAACAAUCAAAGGAAUAAUCCGCUAUGAGAUGGGCCCGCGGCGCAUUAGCUAGUUGGUGAGGUAACGGCUCACCAAGGCGACGAUGCGUAGCCGACCUGAGAGGGUGAUCGGCCACAUUGGAACUGAGACACGGUCCAGACUCCUACGGGAGGCAGCAGUGGGGAAUAUUGCACAAUGGGGGAAACCUUGAUGCAGCAACGCCGCGUGAGUGAUGAAGGUCUUCGGAUUGUAAAGCUCUGUCUUUAGGGACGAUAAUGACGGUACCUAAGGAGGAAGCCACGGCUAACUACGUGCCAGCAGCCGCGGUAAGAC
rnacentral:rRNA from 1 species